UUAUAAAGAGUGGAAACAACUGUGGAAACUGAAGCUUCCAUCAAAAAUCAAGGUGUUUUGCUGGCGCUUAGCACUUGACUCAAUUCCUACAGCGAGUGUGCUGAAAAGGAAGAAUCUGGCAGCAACACCAGAAUGCAAAAUAUGUGGGGGCAGAAGAUGAUACAUGGGAUCACUCCUUGCUGCGCUGUACAAUGUCUCGCAAUGUUCCACAAGCAGAAAGUACUCACAUCUUGGUUACAUGUUGGGCCAUUUGGAAUGCUAGAAGAAAAUUUAUUCAUGAGGGGAUUAUGCAAAGCCCCUUCUCAAUUAUGACCAUGACCAAGCGCUUAAUAGAAGAAUUGGAGUUUGUGAACAGAGCCCAAUUCAAGGAAACCAGCAAGUGUCAGCCAAGAUUAGGAUCUCAAUGUUGGAGAGCUCCUGAGAGUGGUUUCUCCAAGUUAAAAACAGAUGCUGCUGUUAGUAAAUCAGGUUCACAUGGAGCUGUGGCAGCAGUUUGUAGAGAUAAUCAGGGGGCUUUUAUUGCAUGUAGUGCUUUGGUUGUACAGAAUGUCUCCGAUCCCGAAACUCUUGAAGCAA